rnacentral:rRNA from 1 species
AAAUUGAAGAGUUUGAUCAUGGCUCAGAUUGAACGCUGGCGGCAGGCCUAACACAUGCAAGUCGAACGGUAACAGGAAGCAGCUUGCUGCUUCGCUGACGAGUGGCGGACGGGUGAGUAAUGUCUGGGAAACUGCCUGAUGGAGGGGGAUAACUACUGGAAACGGUGGCUAAUACCGCAUAACGUCGCAAGACUAAAGAGGGGGACCUUCGGGCCUCUUGCCAUCAGAUGUGCCCAGAUGGGAUUAGCU